rnacentral:rRNA from 1 species
UACGGAGGGGGCUAGCGUUGUUCGGAAUUACUGGGCGUAAAGCGCACGUAGGCGGCUUUGUAAGUUAGAGGUGAAAGCCCGGGGCUCAACUCCGGAAUUGCCUUUAAGACUGCAUCGCUUGAACACGGGAGAGGUGAGUGGAAUUCCGAGUGUAGAGGUGAAAUUCGUAGAUAUUCGGAAGAACACCAGUGGCGAAGGCGGCUCACUGGACCGUUGUUGACGCUGAGGUGCGAAAGCGUGGGGAGCAAACAGG